GCGAACCUGUGCGCGAGCUGCCACCCACGCGCGUGCCGAACACCUGAGCAGGUCCCGCGCCGUGUUUGAGGAAAAGUGUCCGGGAGCGAGGAGGAGGCGGCGGCGGCGAGAGGUGAUGGAAACACGGCGGUACGUGACGGUCCAGGAACCGACCAGCCUCCUCCCGUGUUCCGUCCCGCUAUUCUACUCUAGGUAGUGGUGCUGGUGGUCUGGUGGCAUGGACAUUGCGCUCUUCCCCUGCAUCUCCACCCCGAGGGGAAUGCUGCUUCUAACUACCCACGCUUUCUGUUUUCUGUCUUUUUUCCUCUCUCUUUCUGUUUUUUUUUUAAUAUCUCCCAAUGUCCUAUGAGCGAUGUUGAUAAUAUU